UGAGGAGCCGUGCUCUCUGGGUAAAUGUCACCAGAGAGCAGCAUGCCAGGAGAGGGGCACCAACAAACUCUCUGGCCACAAAGGCCUUCUUGGGUAGAUUCAGAGUGUGAUUGUGGGCAUCUAGCAGCCUCUCUGCUUCUGUGAGUCUUAAGGACACUCGGGAUGUUUUCCUUAGUGUUGACGAUGCUGGGGAAAAGAAGAGCUCUUGGAAGCCACCCUGAGAGAGAAGCUCAUGGGGGAUGACGUGUGGGGACUCCAGCAAAGCCAGCAUACAACAGUCUCGUUUUCAUGGUGUGUCGGAUUAGAUCUAGGCUUCAGCUACUGUGCGUGUUGUGAGGCCCUCACUCUCAGCCAGGGCCAACAUCUCACAAAACUUUAC
rnacentral:lncRNA from 1 species